AUUUUUUUUAAAUUUUUUGUUCUGUUGCAGGUGGGAAAGUGGAAAAAUAAAGGAAACCUCCUAGCCCUCGUUUCCUAAUAGCGUCGGAGGGGAGAAGUGUUUGUUACCAGGCAGCGAGACCGUGGGAUAGGGAUAGCGUUUAAAGGUGACAAGUAGGCUAAUAGGCGGCGACCCUGAUAUUGCCAGUACAGCGGCCGUGCUGACAGUUCUAUAGGCAGAAGUUAUAAGAAUUGAGAGUCUUCUAUUAAUGGCUUCUAGUAGCUUUUUGGACCACCCGCAUUCGGCAUAAUUCCUACCAGCAAAUCCUUUUCUAGAAAGACCCCUAGAUAUUUUGCGUAUGGAGCACUUGUUACGAGAGUGUCCUCAAUGGUAACUGUUAUAUCCUUCUUUUCUUCUUCCUUGAAGAGAUUCCAGUCGCGCUAUUCUGCUCCAUGACUUGGUUCCCUGUCAGUGGAGCUGAGCAGUAGGUUGCUGACGGUCGGGCGGGGCCUGCUCGGUCACCCGCGGCACUGACCGGUACUGGGGUGUCCCUCCCCUGCACCGUAACUUCUGUUCUUGGUCUAUGAUGGUUUGCUCAAUGUUUUCGCUCCAUCAGCAAGGCAUUUUAAAGUUCGUGUCUGCCCUGAGGUUUCGUCGAGAUGUUUGGUAGGAGUGUUGGAGAAAAAAUAGGAGCCCCCUAGCCCUCGAAACCUAAUAGCCUCGGGGGGGAAAAAGUGGCUGCCAUCAUGCAGCAAGCCGUAGGAUAAGGAUUACGUUAAAAGGUUAGGAUAGGAAAUAAAAGGGAGCCUUCUAGCCCUCGCAAACCUAAUAGCAUCGAAGGGGAUCGUAGACACCACUCCCAGGGAGCGGCGGGAUAAGGAAAUUGACUUUAAAAGCACUUUCCAAUCUGAUAUUUUUCGUGCCACCCGCGGAGUCGAGAAGGUCAAAUCUAUGUGCGAUUUCGUUUCGCGCCUGGUAAAAGUUGGAGAACUGUCAUUAAGUAUGAUAAGCUUCAAUCUGGCUCCUGCCUCAAGAAGAUAUUAACCUCGUUAUCCACUGAGAUAUUUAAAUUUAGAUAAU
rnacentral:lncRNA from 1 species